rnacentral:tRNA from 2 species
AGGAACUUAGGAUAACAAACUAGUCCACGAGCCUUCAAAGCCCGUCGUGGGGGUGAAAAUCCUCCAGGCCCUG